CCUGCUAAACUUAAGCAUAUCAAUAAGUGGAGGAAAAGAAACUAACAAGGAUUCCCCUAGUAACUGCAAGUGAAGUGGAAAGAGCUCAAAUUUUGAAUCUGGUGGUCCUCGGCUGCCCAAGUUGUAAUCUACAGAAGUGUCUUCCACACUGGACUGUGUACAAGUCUCCUGGAAGGUUGCAUCAUAGAGGGUGACAAUCCCAUCUCUGACAUGGAGCCCAGCGCUAUGUGAUGCACUCUCAAUGAGUCAAGUUGUUUGGGAAUGCAGCUCAAAUCAGGUGGUAAACUCCAUCUAAAGCUAAAUAUUGGCAAGAGACCAACAGCGAACAAGUACCAUGAGGGAAAGAUGAAAAGGACUUUGGAAAGAGAGUUAAACAGUACGUGAAAUUGCUGGAAGGGAAACGCUUGACGUCAGUCGCGUCGUCCGGGGAUCAACCUCGCUUCUAGCUGGGCAUAUUUCCUGGUCGACAGGUCAGCAUCAAUUUUGGCCAUUGUAGAAGGAUGGGAGCAAACGUGGCACUCUCCAGAGUGUGCUAUAGCCUCUCAUAUGGAUGCAAUGGCUGGGAUCAACAAACUCGGCACAACCCCUUGAGGGUUCAGGGCUUUGGUCCAUGUAGUGUGCCUAGGAUGCUAGCAUAAUGGCUUUAAGCAACCCAUCUUGAAACAUGG
rnacentral:ncRNA from 1 species